UUGUAGUGAUCAAAGUGGCGUAAUUUGCAAGAUGGCCAUGAUCCCCACACCUUUCACAGCUCCCAAUUUCACUAGAAAUUCAGUUCAGGCUGUGAAUUUAACAGUGGUAUAUAUGCCGUGAUCGUCUCAGCUGGGAGGCCUUAUCUUCUAUGUACCACUUUCAUGACUGGCUUGGUGCUGCAAAUUUAUGGUGACACUAGACCCCUGUAAGAAGACAUGGGAAAGAGCAAGACAAGUAAGCACCUGGACUCCAGAGUAUGUUGAUGUGG
rnacentral:rRNA from 1 species